GUCUCGGGCCGAUUCGUCCUCUGUCUCUCUCUUCUUUUUUUUCUUUCCUUGUGGCGGCCGUUCUCGGCUCCCCGUCCACUCUCUCGCUCGACUACUCUUUUUCCUCCUCUCCCUUUUUCUUCUACGACCUCCCUCUUCUUUUCCUCUCUUUCUCUCUUCCCUCUCAGUUGAUCGACUCACCUCUCUCUCUUUUUUGGCUUCUCUCCUAAAUGAAAAAAACCCUAAUCUCUUUCCCUUUUAUACCCAUUUCCCCAGCCGUUGGAUCUCACAAGCUCGAUCUGGGUUGUUCGUCUUCCAUAAAAUCUCAGUCAUUUGAUCUUUUCAGAUGGUUCGAUUAGGACCGUCCGUUCUCUGAUUUCUUUUUGCCCUCUUUCACUUCAACUUAUUUAUAUUUUCACCCCCAUUU
rnacentral:lncRNA from 1 species